rnacentral:tRNA from 1 species
AUCACGUGGUGUGGAACGUCACGCCGGCGCUGCAUACGCCGCUGAUGGCCGUGACCAACGCGAUCUCGGCGAUCGUGAUCGUCGGCGCGAUGC